AGGAAAGAGCAAACUAACUAAGCAGAAAUUUCGGUCUGUUUACAAUAGCGUAUUUGACGGAGAUGCAGACGAAUUUGUUGGGCACCUCUUUCGAUCGUUUGAUUCCAACCAAGAUGGAUUUGUCGAUUUUAAAGAGUUCAUAGUGGGUUUGUGAGUGUCCGGAAGUGAGAAGCCGGAAACCAAACUGAAAUGGACCUUCAAUAUGUACGAUCAAGACGGGAACGGCUCCAUCAGCCGAGAGGAGAUGUCCAAUAUGCUCAAGGCGAUAUACAGAACUAUAUCGACGGACCUAAUCAACAUGAAGGCGGAUCUUCACACGAUCGACACACUCGUGAAGGAAUUCUUCAAAUCGGCUGACCGUAAUCAUGACUGACGACUCAAUCAGCCGCGAAGUGUUCAUGAGCGGCGCGCGGGGAAUGCCGGUGAUUCUAGAUUUACUGCAGCGUAACCCGGAAGACGAACCCGCAUUUGAGGAGUCGGUCACACAACUAGACGCUAUUUACGAUUCCAAUGAUACCAUGUGUACACAGGGUCAGGCAGGCCUUAGUGAGCGUGCGAAGGCGUCGGCCGCUUCAUAGCCAUGGAUUUAUGGAAGUC